rnacentral:rRNA from 1 species
UACGAAGGGGGCUAGCGUUGUUCGGAUUUACUGGGCGUAAAGCGCGUGUAGGCGGGUCUGUAAGUUGGGGUGAAAUCCCGAGGCUCAACCUCGGAACUGCCUUCAAGACUGCAGGCCUGGACCCAAGGAGAGGCUAGGGGAAUUCCGAGUGUAGAGGUGAAAUUCGUAGAUAUUCGGAGGAACACCAGUGGCGAAGGCGACUAGCUGGACUUGUGGUGACGCUGGGACGCGAAAGCGUGGGGAGCAAACAGG